rnacentral:rRNA from 1 species
GACGAACGCUGGCGGCGUGCUUAACACAUGCAAGUCGAACGGUAAGGCCCUUCGGGGUACACGAGUGGCGAACGGGUGAGUAACGCGUGGGCAACCUGCCUUACACUGGGGGAUAACAGUUGGAAACGACUGCUAAUACCGCAUAUGCACACAGUAUCACAUGAUACAGUGUGGAAAACUCCGGUGGUGUAAGAUGGGCCCGCGUCUGAUUAGCUAGUUGGUGAGGUAACGGCUCACCAAGGCGACGACGGGUAGCCGGCCUGAGAGGGUGACCGGCCACACUGGGACUGAGACACGGCCCAGACUCCUACGGGAGGCAGCAGUGGGGAAUAUUGCGCAAUGGGCGAAAGCCUGACGCAGCAACGCCGCGUGAGGGAUGACGGCCUUCGGGUUGUAAACCUCUUUCAGCAGGGAAGAAGCGAAAGUGACGGUACCUGCAGAAGAAGCACCGGCUAACUACGAGCCAGCCGCCGCAGUAA